CCCACUUAGUCGCAAGGAGGAAACAGGACCAACUGCCUUACGGGUCUCUAAGAGUGUCAAGGAUUUAUUUUUCAGAAAACUCCUCACGGGAUAGCUUCCUGUUUCCUGAGAGUCG
rnacentral:lncRNA from 1 species